rnacentral:rRNA from 1 species
UACAUACUGUGCGAACGUUAUUCGGAUUUACUGGGCGUAAAGGGCGCGUAGGCGGCCACCGCAAGUCGGUUGUGAAAUCUCUGGGCUUAACCCAGAAAGGUCAACCGAUACUGCGGGGCUAGAGUGCAGAAGGGGCAACUGGAAUUCUCGGUGUAGCGGUGAAAUGCGUAGAUAUCGAGAGGAACACCUGCGGCGAAGGCGGGUUGCUGGGCUGACACUGACGCUGAAGCGCGAAAGCUAGGGGAGCGAACGGG